ACGAGUACAUAUGCUUGGAAGUAUUUUUAAUCUUAUUCCUAACCUAAAUUUUUGAAAUUCAUUGUCACCUAGCUAGAACAUUACUAUCUACGGUGACAUCAAAGCAAUUCGAUUCACUACAUAACUAGACCGUGACGUUAUUAAAAGAAAUUAGGUUGUAUACUGCGUUUAAUCCCCUUCACAAUGUCCCAGAGUUGGAUGACCUCAUGUUUACAUCUACUGGUGCAUGUUUUAAUGGUUAACUUAUCUGGGAUCAGUGACCUACUUCUACGUUAUCGCUUAGCAUGAUGUAAUGUUGUUUGUUUGGGAUUGUUUUACGAGAAUAAGCAAUUAUCCAUUCAUCUCUGUGAAAAAAGGCAGAACUAUAUUAAUUAAAUCGAUGAAACAUUUAAGUAAAUUUAAGGUAGCCUGUAAUAGCCAACUGCGCUUUCAAAAAUAAAUGAUUAUUAAAACAAA